rnacentral:sRNA from 1 species
ACUUGUUGCGGACUGAUGAAGUGAAUAUGCGUGUCAAUUGCCCCUGCAGUUGCUAUGAGCCCUUCUCCCGCAUACACUUCUGUACCGACACCGAUAAUCAUGCCUUGAUCGACACCAUCCAUCGUAUUCGGAUUUCCAGCCUUACCAAUCCCAGCGAUACGGCCAUUUUUAAUGCCGAUAUCCGCCUUUACGAUUCCUGUAUAGUCAAUGAUCAUCACAUUCGUAAUGACCGUAUCAAGCACACCUUCUUCAGACGUCUUCUGGCCGUUCUGUCCCAUC